UACGUAGGGUGCAAGCGUUGUCCGGAAUUAUUGGGCGUAAAGAGCUCGUAGGCGGUUUGUCGCGUCUGCUGUGAAAACUGGGGGCUCAACCCCCAGCCUGCAGUGGGUACGGGCAGACUAGAGUGCGGUAGGGGAGAUUGGAAUUCCUGGUGUAGCGGUGGAAUGCGCAGAUAUCAGGAGGAACACCGGUGGCGAAGGCGGUUCUCUGGGCCUGUACUGACGCUGAGGAGCGAAAGCGUGGGGAGCGAACAGG
rnacentral:rRNA from 1 species